GGGAUCCCGGGUGUGGACCUAGCACCGCUCGUCAAGCCAUGCUGCGGAGGCGUCCCACAUAGGACAGAUGAAGAUUGGCACAGAUGUUAGCUCAGUGACAAUCUUCCUCACCAAAAAAAAAAGAAAAAAAGUAUAUAUAUAAAAAUCUAUAUGUAUAUGUCUCUCACAUAGAUUAUAAUCUUAAAUCCUAAGAACUACUCAUCCACGGAAAUUCAAUUUUCUUUAUUUUACAAACUGGAAACUUUGCCUGAGGCCGCCCCACUCACAGGUACCAGAGCUGGGAUUCAAACGCCUCCCGCUGGCCCCAGGGUGGGAGCUCCCCGCACAGCAGCGCCCCACUCCAGGCACCCUCUCUGGGCGUCUCUCUGCUGAGAGCUGGGACAGGAGGGCAGAGCACCACCUUGUCUGACCUCAGCUGGGGAUGCGCGCAUCCACCGACUCCAAAGUUUAGCCGCUCUGCGCAUGUCCGCGAAUGAUCGCGAGAACGCCGCGAGUCUUCAUUGGGCGGUUACAAAUAACUUUUAGCGAACAGGCGAAUUCGCAAAGAUGGAAUCCGCGGGUAGAGAGGGUCGACUGUACUUGUUUCUCUCUCCUGUGUUUCUGGUAAUCUGGACGUUAAUUCUAAAGGCGUGACGGACAAAAAGAAGUAUCUGCAAAAGUAACAGGAGGGCUGGCGGAGUAAAAGUCAGGGACCGCUGGAAGCUGCUGCCACUACCACGGUUUCUACCAUUAGAACUGCCACUCCCACCCCCACAGCUGGUGACCAGGCGCUGGGAUGCCCAGUCUAGCCAGCGCCGUGUCUCUUAACUUUGCUCUGGCAGACGCUGCUGGCGGAAAUUCGGCCUGGGCCACCUCACCUUCUCUUCCAGCCUCACCCUCCUCCUGCUCCGGGAUAUUUCUGGCACUAAGAGCUGACUGCUGCCUCCCCUGCUCACAGCCCCGCCAUGGCUCCCAAGCACCCUCAGGGGAGACAAACUGCUCGGAAUGGUGUUGGAGCUCAGAGACCCAGGAAAGGGAGAGAGAGGUCACGUGAAUGAACGCGUGUGGCUCAGUCCCCAUGGCCAUGAACUUUCAGGAAAAUGUAACCCUGGCCAUGGCCGUAUUCACCAUCCUCGCCUCCAUCUACUUCUUCAACAAGGCUCAGCAAUGAGAAGACACAGGAUUCCCCAAUCCCAGAGCCCGGCCUUCGCCCCGGACCGUGACUCCGGCCUCUGAGACCAAAUAAAUGUGACCGAUCAGCACACCGUGCUCCAUCCCACUGCCCCACCCGUCACAGCCUCGCCGGCUCUGCUUCAGGGCCAGGCCCCUGGGUCUGAGGGAGGAGGGGCUGGGGCUGGACUCCUGGGUCUGAGGGAGGAGGGGCUGGGGGUCUGGACCCCUGGGUCUGAGGGAGGAGGGGCUGGGGCUGGACUCCCGGGUCUGAGGGAGGAGGGGCUGGGGCCUGGACUCCUGGGUCUGAGGGAGGAGGGGCUGGGGGCCUGGACUCUCAGGUCUGAGGCUAGGGGCCCAGAGUCUGAGCUGGGUUUUGAGGGAUGCAUAGGAGUCUGUCAGGAGCGUUUAGAGAUGGGGGACGGACAUUCCAACUCUGGGUGCAAGAGCACAGAGGAGAGAUAGAGCAGGGCCGAUUCACCUGGUACCCACACGGACUGCUGGGUACUUCAGAUCCGUUCCUUCUCUCUGAGCCCCGGUUUUCUUCUCGGCCAGACAACAGUGAAAAUCUCUGUCCAAUGGGCCCCAGAGGCCACGGCAAGGCCGGCCCGAGAUCAAAGACGUGAAUGGAAUGUGUAAGCUGCAAAGGGUCUGCCGUUAUCAUCUUCACCGUUAUAUCAUAUCAACACGUCUUUCUCUUUUCUUAGCAAACUCCUAUUCAACCCUCAAUACCAUCAUCCAUGCCUCCAUCUUAUAGAAACAUCCAGGCCCCCAGACAGAGGGUCUGUCACCAGCUCCCUCGCUCCUCCCCACCCCCUGCCUCCGUUCCCAGCAGGUGGGAGACGCCCCGGGUGACACCCCAGCCUUUGGUUGAGUUUCACCCACUUUCUCAUCUGAUGAGAAACAAUUUCAUUUCGCUCACGAUCCGAAAAGGCAGCUUCUGAAGAGGAUGACGGGAACUCUUGCGUUUUCCGGGGAAGGCGUCGCGAACGUCCGUUAGGAACGGACUCACGGCGUCGCUGGAACUUUCGCUGGAGGGUUGCAGACGCCCUGGUCCCUCCUCCUGCGUGUGGACAGAGGACGGUCUCCCUCGCGGGAAGCCCCGGGUGCAGAACUCGGAGCCGCCACGCGGGGGCGGUGCUGGCCCAUUUUCCCGUCGGUCCGCGGCUCCUGGAGGAAGUCGGUUUCGCAAAAGCGUCAAGCUGAUGCCUGAUGGCGGGUCUUUCUCUGGGCUUCUCCUCGGUCCUCCAUCUCUCCUCCCGUCCUCCCAGGAGUCUUUCUACAUCCGGAGCUGACCCUGACCCGCCCUCCCUUGGCUCCUCAGUCCACCCUGGGACAAGAGUCCCAGACCCUCCUUUUGUCACUGGAGGUUGUGUGUGACCUGACUCCCUCUCGUCUUUCU
rnacentral:lncRNA from 1 species